rnacentral:rRNA from 1 species
UGGGGAAUUUUGGACAAUGGGCGAAAGCCUGAUCCAGCAAUGCCGCGUGUGUGAAGAAGGCCUUCGGGUUGUAAAGCACUUUUGUCCGGAAAGAAAUCCUUGGCUCUAAUACAGUCGGGGGAUGACGGUACCGGAAGAAUAAGCACCGGCUAACUACGUGCCAGCAGCCGCGGUAAUACGUAGGGUGCAAGCGUUAAUCGGAAUUACUGGGCGUAAAGCGUGCGCAGGCGGUUUGCUAAGACCGAUGUGAAAUCCCCGGGCUCAACCUGGGAACUGCAUUGGUGACUGGCAGGCUAGAGUAUGGCAGAGGGGGGUAGAAUUCCACGUGUAGCAGUGAAAUGCGUAGAGAUGUGGAGGAAUACCGAUGGCGAAGGCAGCCCCCUGGGCCAAUACUGACGCUCAUGCACGAAAGCGUGGGGAGCAAACAGGAUUAGAUACCCUGGUAGUCCACGCCCUAAACGAUGUCAACUAGUUGUUGGGGAUUCAUUUCCUUAGUAACGUAGCUAACGCGUGAAGUUGACCGCCUGGGGAGUACGGUCGCAAGAUUAAAACUCAAGGGAAUUGACGGGGUCAUAGCUGUUUCCU